GUGAAGAACGCAGCGAAAUGCGAUACGUAAUGUGAAUUGCAGAUUUCAGUGAAUCAUCGAAUCUUUGAACGCACAUUGCGCCCGCCAGUAUUCUGGCGGGCAUGCCUGUUCGAGCGUCAUUUCAACCAUCAAGCCUUCGCUUGUGUUGGGGCCCCGCGGCUGCCGCGGUCCCCUAAAUCCAGUGGCGGGCUCGUCGUCGUACCGAGCGCAGUAGACAUCCUCGCUCCGGGAACCCGACGGGUGCCGGCCGUGAAACCCCCCACAUCAAGGUUGACCUCGGAUCAGGUAGGAAUACCCGCUGAACUUAAGCAUAUCAAUAAGCGGAGGA
rnacentral:misc_RNA from 1 species